ensembl:lncRNA
AAUAAGUAGUGGACCAACGGACAAUGAUGUAUUGCUAGAAUGUAUGAUUACCGUUAUUAAGGUUACAGAAUGCUCGCGCUGAAGUGCUCAAAAGGUGCACGAAAGGCGCUGAAGGCAGCGGUUUUUUUUUCUAAAAAAAGAAGUCAAGUCUGAACACGGCCAAUUUUCGUUGAAAGCGGUGAUAAAGAUGGUAGGUGUACACCUUGUAAAUCUUUUAACCUCAUUGCAUUUAAUGUUUGCUUAUUAUGUGCUUUUGGUUUUCGAAGCAUACAAACAGUAUAUUGAUAAACUCUUACAGCUGCAAGUAUUACCAAUGAGCUAUUACCCUCAUUGACACGGGAAGACCUAAGAGACCUUAUGCCAGGGCCGGAGAAUUUUCUGAGGAGAAAACACAUUUGGGAAGCUGUCCAUUCAGAGGAAAGCUCAUCCUCUGAACCAGUCACGGAUAACAACAUACCCAAGACACAAGAAGUAACGCCAGAAAAAGUAAUAAAGAUAUGUAGUCCAGAGUAUGUUGUGUACACAGAUGCAGAGCUUGAGCAUGUGCGCAAAUACUACUUUGAACUUCAUCGCAAUGGGCAAGCACAUGAGUGUGUUAUGUCCAAAGAGCUGCGAUGUCGCUUGGUCAGAAAUACUAUUACUUCAAUGAUUUCAAUUGUACGAGGCUAUGACAUGAAGGAAAGAAGAGAUUGGGGAGAGUAUCCCUCCCGUGAAGAAUUGACUGCCAUGGCCAUGAGGGUAAUUCAAUAUUACCCCAUGCUGCAAGAUGCAAAUGGGACUAAGCCAUGGGAGCCUAUCCUGCGACAAAUGCUAAAAAGAUUGCAGAAUGUGAAAUCCACCCUGACGUUGAAACUAUCAACACCCAUGCACAGUCAAGCUUCUGUUGUCAAGAAAAGACGACUUCAGUUCCAGCAAACCGACAAAGAGGCUGAGUCUGCUACUGGUUCAAUUGAAACAACUCAGAUGACUGAUCCCCCAGAGAGCACUUGUACAGACCUGGAC